GCAUAUCAAUAAGCGGAGGAAAAGAAAAUAACAAUGAUUCCCUCAGUAACGGCGAGCGAAGAGGGAUAAGCUCAAAUUUUAAAUCUGUUGGGUUCCACUCGACAGAGUUGUAUUUUGAAGAAACGUUUUCUGCAUCCAGGAUUAGCCUAAAUCCUUUGGGAUAAGGUAUCAUGGAGGGUGAGAAUCCCGUUCAUGGUUAAUCUUAAGGAAGCUCUACGAUACGUUUUCCAAGAGUCGAGUUGUUUGGGAUUGCAGCUCAAAAUGGGAGGUAAAUUUCUCCUAAGGCUAAAUAUUGGCGAGAGACCGAUAGCGAACAAGUACCGUGAGGGAAAGAUGAAAAGAACUUUGAAAAGAGAGUUAAACAGUACGUGAAAUUGUUGAAAGGGAAACGAUUGAAGUCAGUCAUACCAACGGGAAAUCAACCUUUUGAUCUCGGUCUCGUGGGUUUUGAAGAGUUUCAAAGCCUUCGGAUUCGCGAGUUUGGGAUCUUUUGGUGUACUUUUUCGUACGGUUAGUCAACAUCGGUUUUGAAUGUCAUAAAAUGACUGGAGGAAUGUAGCUUCGAUCUCGUAUUGAAGUGUUAUAGCCUUUGGUAGAUGUGAUGUUUGAGACCGAGGAUUGCAACGGAUACCCUUCAGGGCUAUUCGUCUGAUCUCUGAUACGUUGCCCUGAUGUUGAAAGCUUGCUUAUGAUGUUUAGGGUAUUACGGUCAAAAGGUUAGAACGAAUUACAUUCGUUAAGGAUGUUGACGUAAUGGCUUUAAACGAC
rnacentral:rRNA from 1 species